GUUUGAUCAUGGCUCAGAUUGAACGCUGGCGGCAUGCCUUACACAUGCAAGUCGAACGGUAACAGGUCUUCGGAUGCUGACGAGUGGCGAACGGGUGAGUAAUACAUCGGAACGUGCCCGAGAGUGGGGGAUAACGGAGCGAAAGCUUUGCUAAUACCGCAUACGAUCUACGGAUGAAAGCAGGGGACCGCAAGGCCUUGCGCUCAUGGAGCGGCCGAUGGCAGAUUAGGUAGUUGGUGGGAUAAAAGCUUACCAAGCCGACGAUCUGUAGCUGGUCUGAGAGGACGACCAGCCACACUGGGACUGAGACACGGCCCAGACUCCUACGGGAGGCAGCAGUGGGGAAUUUUGGACAAUGGGCGAAAGCCUGAUCCAGCCAUGCCGCGUGCAGGAUGAAGGCCUUCGGGUUGUAAACUGCUUUUGUACGGAACGAAAAGACUCUGGUUAAUACCUGNGGUCCAUGACGGUACCGUAAGAAUAAGCACCGGCUAACUACGUUCCAGCAGCCGCGGGUAAUACGU
rnacentral:rRNA from 1 species